CUUGCCGGUGACAUAUGUUCAACGGCCGCGGUAUCCUAACCGUGCAAAGGUAGCAUAAUCAUUUGCCCAUUAAUUGUGGGCUAGAAUGAACGGACCAACGAAAUAAAAACUGUCUCCGUAAGACCCCUAAAAAUUAAUCCCUAACUGAAGAGUGUUAGAUAUUAUCGAAGGACAAGAAGACCCUAUAGAGCUUCACUCAAAUAAAAUAAAAAAUUUUUCAGAGUUCGGUUGGGGCGACCAGGGAAAUUAUUAAUCAUCCCUCUUAAAAAGAUAUAUAAAUCUCAAUUCUGACCCUUAACAAAGAUCACGAGAUCAAGCUACCUUAGGGAUAACAGGCUAAUUCUACUAAAGAGUCCUUAUUAAUAGUAGAGUUUGGCACCUCGAUGUUGGCUUAGGGAAUCUAUAUGGCGCAAAAGUCACAUAAAGGUGGUUUGUUCAACCAAUAAUACCCUACAUGAGCUGAGUUCAGACCGGCGUAAGCCAGGUUAGUUUCUAUCCUCGACAAUACAACCUAUUUAUAGUACGAAAGGACCUAAAUAAGGAUAAUAAUUAUAAUUAAAGAAUAAAUAUAGUACAACUUAAACCUUAUAAUACAUAAACUA
rnacentral:rRNA from 1 species